rnacentral:rRNA from 1 species
GUGGGGAAUAUUGCACAAUGGGCGCAAGCCUGAUGCAGCCAUGCCGCGUGUAUGAAGAAGGCCUUCGGGUUGUAAAGUACUUUCAGCGGGGAGGAAGGCGAUAAGGUUAAUAACCUUGUCGAUUGACGUUACCCGCAGAAGAAGCACCGGCUAACUCCGUGCCAGCAGCCGCGGUAAUACGGAGGGUGCAAGCGUUAAUCGGAAUUACUGGGCGUAAAGCGCACGCAGGCGGUCUGUCAAGUCGGAUGUGAAAUCCCCGGGCUCAACCUGGGAACUGCAUUCGAAACUGGCAGGCUAGAGUCUUGUAGAGGGGGGUAGAAUUCCAGGUGUAGCGGUGAAAUGCGUAGAGAUCUGGAGGAAUACUGGUGGCGAAGGCGGCCCCCUGGACAAAGACUGACGCUCAGGUGCGAAAGCGUGGGGAGCAAACAGGAUUAGAUACCCUAGUAGUCC